AGCCACGCGGUGAGCACAAAGCGAACUAUUCUUUCGCCUUUUACUAAAGAAUACCGUGUGCGCGCCGCAAAUAGUGGCAUACGCCAAUUUUUGGAGGGGUUUCCUCAAUAGAAGCCC